rnacentral:rRNA from 1 species
UACGGAGGGGGCUAGCGUUGUUCGGAAUUACUGGGCGUAAAGCGCGCGUAGGCGGACCUGCAAGUCGGGGGUGAAAGCCCGAGGCUCAACCUCGGAACUGCCUUCGAUACUGCGGGUCUCGAGUCCGGGAGAGGUGAGUGGAAUUCCUAGUGUAGAGGUGAAAUUCGUAGAUAUUAGGAAGAACACCAGUGGCGAAGGCGGCUCACUGGCCCGGUACUGACGCUGAAAUACGAAAGCGUGGGGAGCAAACAGG